AUUUGAGGUAGAGGUGCAAAUUUUAAGAGUAAUAUUAAUGAGGUAAGCACAAUGAUUUAAUAUGAAAGGAAAAUUUGCCGAAGUGUAUAACUAAUGCUUUAAGGUUAUAUUGCUGGUCUUACAUAUAAUAUGUGUAAGAUUGUCACAAAGUUUUUUUGUGGAGAGCUAUCAUUCGA
rfam:Clostridium baratii str. Sullivan, complete genome.